rnacentral:rRNA from 1 species
AGCGAACGCUGGCGGCAGGCCUAACACAUGCAAGUCGAACGAACCUUUCGGGGUUAGUGGCGGACGGGUGAGUAACACGUGGGAACGUGCCUUUAGGUUCGGAAUAACUCAGGGAAAAUUGUGCUAAUACCGAAUGUGCCCUUCGGGGGAAAGAUUUAUCGCCUUUAGAGCGGCCCGCGUCUGAUUAGCUAGUUGGUUGAGGUAAUGGCUCACCAAGGCGACGAUCAGUAGCUGGUCUGAGAGGAUGAUCAGCCACAUUGGGACUGAGACACGGCCCAAACUCCUACGGGAGGCAGCAGUGGGGAAUCUUGCGCAAUGGGCGAAUGCCUGACGCAGCCAUGCCGCGUGAAUGAUGAAGGUCUUAGGAUUGUAAAAUUCUUUCACCGGGGACGAUAAUGACGGUACCCGGAGAAGAAGCCCCGGCUAACUUCGUG